rnacentral:rRNA from 1 species
GAUGAACGCUGGCGGCGUGCCUAAUACAUGCAAGUCGAGCGAACGGACGAGAAGCUUGCUUCUCUGAUGUUAGCGGCGGACGGGUGAGUAACACGUGGAUAACCUACCUAUAAGACUGGGAUAACUUCGGGAAACCGGAGCUAAUACCGGAUAAUAUUUUGAACCGCAUGGUUCAAAAGUGAAAGACGGUCUUGCCGUCACUUAUAGAUGGAUCCGAGCUGCAUUAGCUAGUUGGUAAGGUAACGGCUUACCAAGGCAACGAUGCAUAGCCGACCUGAGAGGGUGAUCGGCCACACUGGAACUGAGACACGGUCCAGACUCCUACGGGAGGCAGCAGUAGGGAAUCUUCCGCAAUGGGCGAAAGCCUGACGGAGCAACGCCGCGUGAGUGAUGAAGGUCUUCGGAUCGUAAAACUCUGUUAUUAGGGAAGAACAUAUGUGUAAGUAACUGUGCACAUCUUGACGGUACCUAAUCAGAAAGCCACGGCUAACUACGUG